UACGGAGGGUGCAAGCGUUAAUCGGAAUUACUGGGCGUAAAGCGCACGCAGGUGGCUGAGUCAGUCGAUUGUGAAAUCCCCGGGCUUAACCUGGGAAUGGCGAUGGAGACUGCGAGGCUAGAGUUUGGCAGAGGGGGGUAGAAUUCCACGUGUAGCAGUGAAAUGCGUAGAGAUGUGGAGGAACACCGAUGGCGAAGGCAGCCCCCUGGGUCAAAACUGACGCUCAUGCACGAAAGCGUGGGGAGCAAACAGG
rnacentral:rRNA from 1 species